rnacentral:misc_RNA from 1 species
GCUGAAGCUAUCAAUAUCUCGGCGUUCCAGUUUCAGCAGUAGCUUCUUCUUCUCCUGCAAAUUACCAUACACUACUCCAAACCUCUCUGCCACAUUCAAAAUCAGCAAUUAUCUUUCUGUAAGAGCCUUUGCUUCCGUCUCUGAAGAGAAGGGUCAACCAAAGAAAAAGAAAAGGAGACUGGAUGAAUUGUGUUUGGAGAGG